rnacentral:rRNA from 1 species
GGAACCUGCCUUGGAGUGGGGAAUAACAGCUGGAAACAGCUGCUAAUACCGCAUAAUAUAUCUGGGCCGCAUGGCUCUGGAUAUCAAAGAUUUAUCGCUCUGAGAUGGACUCGCGUCUGAUUAGCUGGUUGGCGGGGUAACGGCCCACCAAGGCGACGAUCAGUAGCCGGACUGAGAGGUUGGCCGGCCACAUUGGGACUGAGACACGGCCCAGACUCCUACGGGAGGCAGCAG